GAUGAACGCUGGCGGCGUGCCUAAUACAUGCAAGUCGAGCGAACAGACGAGGAGCUUGCUCCUCUGACGUUAGCGGCGGACGGGUGAGUAACACGUGGAUAACCUACCUAUAAGACUGGGAUAACUUCGGGAAACCGGAGCUAAUACCGGAUAACAUGUUGAACCGCAUGGUUCAACAGUGAAAGACGGUCUUGCUGUCGCUUAUAGAUGGAUCCGCGCCGCAUUAGCUAGUUGGUAAGGUAACGGCUUACCAAGGCAACGAUGCGUAGCCGACCUGAGAGGGUGAUCGGCCACACUGGAACUGAGACACGGUCCAGACUCCUACGGGAGGCAGUAGUAGGGAAUCUUCCGCAAUGGGCGAAAGCCUGACGGAGCAACGCCGCGUGAGUGAAGAAGGUCUUCGGAUCGUAAAACUCUGUUAUUAGGGAAGAACAAAUGUGUAAGUAACUAUGCACGUCUUGACGGUACCUAAUCAGAAAGCCACGGCUAACUACGUG
rnacentral:rRNA from 1 species